rnacentral:lncRNA from 1 species
AAAAUGGGGAAGACAAGAAGGAAUUAAGUUAAAUGUCAAAAAGCCAGCGUCAAUACGAACCAUAACUUCUUCUGCCCCCAGGAUUGACAUUUGCUGAAGUUUUGUUCUCUUCUCUUCGUGGAAAUUAUAGAGAUGAGAGAUGAUGCCUGCCAUCCCCAACACAUAGCAGAAUGCCAUCAUAUAGGACACAGUCAAUGCAUGUCUGCUGCUUUAAUGAGCAAAUGUGACCUUGAGUUUUUUGUUUUAUGAUGGCUGACUGUACUGGUCUAAUCAAAAUUAGGACCUUUCAAGUCUGAGUUAUUGAACUGGAUCAUAGCUGCUUUCCCCCACUGCCGUAGGACACCAGAGACUCAAGAAACUCAUUAAUUUCCCGUACCGUGUACUAUUUUCUCUUUAAAAAUCUAAUCCCUCUGGCCUCAUCACUCAGUCCAUCGCAAAUAUAAAAGAGCCUACCAUGUCCUUUAUUGCCUUGGUGACAGAAGCUAUUUGUUAAUAAGUUAUUUGCCAGAAUAAUUGUUAUUUUCCUUGCUCAUUGUUCUUUAUGGCUUGGUUUUAAUUAUACAUGCUCAGGAUGCUUGUGUUUACCUGCCUCUUUCAUCCAAUAAUUGAAAAAUCUUUGUAAUCCAACGAGGCUGAGAAAACAGACAGUAAAAAAACCCCAACAAAUACCAGAGCUGUUACUUUGAAUGGAGUUCCUAGGACAGGUUCUUUCCUGUGGAUGGGCAUCCUGAAGGGCUUAGCUGGAUGAAAAUCAUUUUUGAAACAGCUGAUUCCUGGUAGACAGAGCAGCUAGUAAUUUAAAGAAGACAUACCUCUCAGGAAAUAAAUAUUGGAGGAGAAACGAGUUUGCAGCCAACAGCUGCUAAGGGAUAUGGAAGAUUGAGCUGCAGGGAGCCUGGCAAAUCACUGGCUCCAUCCAUCUUCCAAGGCCCAUGGCAUCAGUCCUAGAAAGGCCAAAGGCCUGGUCCACUAGAGUCUUCAGAGGUUUUAUGCAUCCAACAGUGUGUGCUCUUUCCUCUCAAAAUUCCUCAACACAAAUAAGACAACUGGUCGCUGAAGUGAAAGACACCAAGGACUUGUAAGAAUCCUGAUUGUGUUUUAUAACUUUGCUUCAUCCCUAAAUUAGCUUUUAGGUGGACAUGGGUAGAGAGAACAGAUUAUGCCUGACCUACCAGAGAGUUACCAAAGGAAGGAAAUGGGGACUUGGUUGUCUAAGGAAAGCUACACAGGCUCCCUGGAGACCAGUGUAGCAAAGGGGAGGAAGAGUGGAUAUUCGACAACAGGAGGAUCAGUGAUGUAUCCACACCUCAAAGACUGAGGGGAGAUGGAAACAGGAGCACCAAGCACUUAGGACAACAAGUCAUGUGGCAGGCACUACGCAUUAAGUCCUGGUGUAGGGACUAAAUCGUAUUGCACUGGACCCUACAUCUGGCGGAGACUUAAAAUAUAGAAGGGCAGUGAGACCUUGCCAGGGCAGCAAGUGUGUGGCUGGGAUUUGAAAGUAGUGCUGGAUUUUGAUUUUACAACCACGAUGUCAAGAAUAUCGAGCAGAGGAAAUGCUGGCAAACAUAGAAAGGUCCGGAAGUGCUCUAGACCACGAGAAGCUUUGCUUGUGAUCUGCUCCUUGAUCAGCACAGCUCACAGCAGCACAGCUAUGUAUGUGUCUGUGAUAAGGAAGAGGUGGGGGUGAAGAGGGUGCAGGACAUGUAUUAUGUUCCUAAAGCUUUCAGAACAAGCCAUGCAAACUGAGCUCUAAAGAAGAGAACUGAGUUUUCUCAGAACUCAGGAGCCAGACACCCAAUAUCAAGGUGCUACCAGGGCUGUCCCUUCUCGGUAUCUGCCCUUGGGUUGGUCCCUUCUUGGUAUCUGUUUUUGGGUUGAUCCCUUCUGCAGUCUCUGUCUUUGGGUUGGUCCCUUCUGCAGUCUCUGUCUUUGGGUUGGUCCCUUCUGCAGUCUCUGUCUUUGGGUUGGUCCCUUCUGCAGUAACUGCCCUUGGGUUGGUCCCUUCCUCAGUAUCUGUUCUUGGAUUGGACAGCUACCAUCUCUGUGACACUGUGUUUUCACAGGAUCUUGUUCCUGUGCCUUUCAGUGUCCUGAUUUCUUAUAAGGAUGACAGUAUGUUGGAUUGACAUCAACCCACACUUAAUGACCGCUUCAAAGACCUUACUUUAAAAUAUAGGAAGCCAGAAGUCUUAAGUUCUGAAGUGCUUCAGUGUAUAUUUUCAGGAAACACACUUCAGUCCAGUCUAAAAUAUUCAGCCCAUGCCAAAAGGGGAGAUGGGACCUGAGUUCCCUUCUAGAGGGUCUUCACCUAUUGUACCCAGACUUUAUUGAACACACUUGGUGCUGUGGCUCAGAACCCACCUGCCCUUCACAUAAAGACAAUGCCAGUAGCACUAGAGAUGUGCCAUGGGGGGAGGGGCUACAGGAAAAAUGCCUUUCUUAGAUACAUACUUUGCCUUUCCUGAAAAAUGACCUCAGGUUUAAAUAUUUUUCAAGUUUUACUCACAGAUUUUUAAUUUUAUUUUCAACAUUCUGCCAACAAGAAAUAGACCAGACCACUAGCCAUUAGUCUUCUUGCUGUUUUGGUCUUUUCCUCCUGUUUAAACAAGGCUGAUUUUGUUUGGGAACAAAUUCCUCUUGCAAGUGGCCCACAGUGCAUUAAACACCACUGGGCUGUGUUUAGUCAGCAACAAGCAAAUGACAGGGAGCUUUCCCUCCGUCUUCCUCAGUGACCCAAGCCUUCUGGCCUGACUUGCCAACAUGUCACUGAGAUGCUGCAGAGCAAGAAGGAUCAACACAGGCAAUUAAGGCUUCUGGAAAACAAUUUGUGAGGGGCAUGGCAUGGCAUAGGGCCCAUUUCUUCAACACCAACCCCACUGUCUUUCUUGUGAGUCAUUGUUCCUGACAUAUCACUUGCUUACAGGAGUCACAGAGGGAUAAUGACUAAGUCGUGCUUAGAGGUUGUUUGGUGCUGAUCUGUUGGCUGUGAUUUAUCAUAAUGGGCUCUUUGAUUGAAAGAUAAAUGCCUCAUUUCAUGGAGGCAAAUCAAUUAUUUUUCAAUAGUAUAUUUAUUGAGUGUUUUGUUUUUGCCUCUCACAUAAUUGCAUAAGCCUACUUAAUUUCAUGCAUAUCCCUCAACUUCAGAACUGUUUAGGCAAAGCUACUUGUAUUUCCCAUAUGAUCUCCUUCUCCUCUAUUCCUCUAUUCCAACUGAGAAGCUUCUCUGCCCCUUCCUUGUCUUUCUAUCUGAAAUCCAUUCAUUCCUAUCUUUUCAGGAACUGUGCUCCUGAUGUCUUGUUUCUUUUUAUGUAGCUUUGCCCUCUAUAUUUAUUCUCAGACACAAUUUUAUUGAAAAUCAAAUUAAUUGCAACCUCAUAGAAAGAACAGUAUCAACCAACCAGACCACACAGAUCUCCCAGGGACUAAAACACCAACCAAAAUGGAGGGAUCCACGGUUCCAGCUGUAAAUGUACCAGAGGAUGGCCUUAUGUGGCACCAGAGGGAGGGGAGACCCUUGGUCCUAUGGAGGAUUGAUGCCCCGGCAUAGGGAGAUGCUAGAGUAGUGAGGCAGGAGUGGGUGAGUGGGUGGGUCAACACCCUCCUAGAAGCAAAGUGGAGCGGGGAUGGGAUGGGGGUUUGCGAAGGGAAAACUGGGAAGGGAAAUAGCAUUGAAAAUGUAAAUGAAUAAAAGGAUC